rnacentral:rRNA from 1 species
CAAUAGCGUAUAUUAAAGCUGUUGUGGUUAAAAAGCUCGUAGUUGGAUUUCUGUCAAGGACAACUGGUCCGCCCUCCGGGUGAGCACAUAGUUUGGUCUUGACAUCUUGCUGGAAGCUGUUGCUGCACUUGGCUGUGUGGCGCAGUGUUCAGCACUUUCACUUUGAGGAAAUUGGAGUGUUUCAAGCAGGCACAUGCCUUUGGACACAGUAGCAUGGAAUAAUUAGAUUGGGCUUUUGCUCCAAUUUGUCGGUUUCUGGAGCUGAGGUGAGUAUUAAUGGGGAUUGUUGGGGGCAUCCGAAUUUAGCCGUCAGAGGUGAAAUUCUUGGAUCUGCUAAAGACGGACAACUGCGAAAGCGUUUGCCCAGGAUGUUUNCAUUG